AGACAUAGUCUCAGCCCCUUUGAGAUUUUGUUUGCCACACCUCCUUGUUUGGGGUUCUCUCUCCAAAGCUCCAAACCUCUUCCACUUCUCAUUUUGAACAUGAUAUGCUCUCUUGUUGUGCUGCUUUCUCACCCAACCUCAAAUAGAUCUCUCAACAGGUAGCUAUGGCCCUCCCUAUUCCAGCCACAGGUCCCCUGUGUACCCUCCAGCCCAAUGGCUGGAUCCUCAUCAAGAACAUCUGACAUAAAUCUUGGAGAUCCAAGAUGUGUUAAGAUCGCAGAACGACCUACAUGGAUCCACACCACCCAUUGAAAGAAGGUUCCCUGUCCAGACGAUCCAAUAGCAGAUACCCUCUCCAAUUGAUGACUAGUGGCGUGCAAAGCCACCACCCGACGUUGUACACCCCGGAAUUGAUGACACCUUGCAUUACACACCUACACCCUCAAGGCUCACUGGCUGAAACCUAACGGUGAUAACGACCCCAGUGACAUCUCACACACACUAUCCUUUGCCUGGUCACUGGCGAGUUACUGAAAAUUCCCUGUCCCACAUAUACACUGAUUCCUUGGACAAUGCCUAACUGACAGGAAGGACGCUCGUUCCCCUGUGAGACAUGGCAACACACACAGGAAAACCCCAACCGACAUGACAAUCUUGAGCUAAGCAAAGAGACUCAUUGCUAUAUUCCUGGCACUGCCUUUGUCCUCUUCACCAUUAUCACUCUGCUUAUCUGGGUUUUCUUUGGUCAUACAUUUGAUGUUUUCGUGAAAGACUUAUGAUGUGACUGAUGUUUAAUUCUGUGAAGUGCUGCCUUAAUG